GGGGAAUUUUCCGCAAUGGGCGAAAGUCUGACGGAGCGACGCCGCGUGCGGGAUGAAGGCCUUCGGGUUGUAAACCGCUGUCAGUUGGGAGGAAAUGCAUAGGGGCUAUCCCCUAUGUUUGACCAAUCUUCAGAGGAAGUCCGGGCUAAGUACGUGCCAGCAGCCGCGGUAACACGUACCGGACGAACGUUAUUCGGAAUCACUGGGCUUAAAGAGUACGUAGGCGGUCUGGUAGGUGGGGUGUGAAAGCCCACGGCUCAACCGUGGAAUUGCGCUCCAAACCAUCAGACUUGAGGGAGACAGGGGUGAGCGGAACAAAUGGUGGAGCGGUGAAAUGCGUUGAUAUCAUUUGGAACACCGGUGGCGAAGGCGGCUCACUGGGUCUCUUCUGACGCUGAGGUACGAAAGCUAGGGUAGCGA
rnacentral:rRNA from 1 species